rnacentral:lncRNA from 1 species
GCCUAUUGUGGGACCUUAUGAUCAUGCAAAAGGACUUGUAAGUAUCAUGCUCUUUCUCUUCGAAGAGCUGGAGAAAUCAGAGGCUCUGAACCUCAUGGAAGAACGCACAGGCAAACCAGGCAAAAGCUGGAGUUUCAACUGCAGUCAGCCGGCCUUCACUUUAUCUUAUGCUGCCUUUGCCCUCCAGAGAGGUUUUGUUCCCAAAAAAUCUCCGAAAGGUGCCCAGCUAUGACAUCCAGCACUUCAUUUGUUGAUUCGAAGACCUGGGUUAAAAUACCAGCUCUGCCAUUUCAUUCAAGAUUCCCCUGAAUUCACAUUUAUUGGACACUAUGGCACUGUUUGGGUGAUGGAGAUACAGAGAGAAGCACAUGACGUAUGAUUCUUCAGGAGCUGCUGGGCUAGUGCUGGGAUGAUGGCAAACAUAUAAACCCUCGGCAGGGGAGGCAACAUGGGAGCUGUGUCCUUGGUGAUGGCAGGUAGUAAGGAAAGGGCAUUCAAGGGCCUGGUGCCUCCAGAGACGAGGAAGGGAGCCCGGGGCAUAUGGAGGGCCUGGAGAGGCUCAGGUCAGAGCUAAGACCAGAGGUACAGUGAGGCUAUGGUGUGGAAGGGACUUGAACACCAACCUAGGGGGAUUUGACUUGAUGCAGAAGGCAACUGGGAGCCACAUUGUUUCUAAGUCAGGGGAUGAACAUGCUCCGAUUGCUAUGGAAGAAUUUUCCAAGCAGCGCUAUUGAAAAGAGUGAUGGAGCCUGGAUGCAGGGAGACAUGGCAUCUGGAGGCUGCUGCAGCCCUUGGUGUGUAUACAGCUGGCGCUCACCUCUUCCCCUUCUUUGUUUCCUCCUCCCUUUCCUGAUUUUCCUCUAUCUCUUUCCUCUUCUUUACCUACUGCCCUCACUUUCUUCAUCAGUUACUUUCUCCUCCAUCCUUUCUUCCUGAAAGGGCCAGAAGCUCUAAUUGUGGACAGGCUAGAACAGAUCCUUUUGCCUCCUUUAGUAUUUCUACUUCGAGUAAAAAUGUCUGAUGAGACAGUG